rnacentral:snRNA from 1 species
CACGAUAAUGCUUAUCUUGGCU